GACGAACGCUGGCGGCGUGCCUAAUACAUGCAAGUCGAGCGGAAGUUGGAGAGCUUGCUCUUCAACUUUAGCGGCGGACGGGUGAGUAACACGUGGGCAACCUGCCCUGCAGAUCGGGAUAACUCCGGGAAACCGGUGCUAAUACCGAAUAGUUUUCGCCACCUCCUGGUGGCGUACGGAAAGACGGUUUCGGCUGUCACUGCAGGAUGGGCCCGCGGCGCAUUAGCUAGUUGGUGGGGUAACGGCCCACCAAGGCAACGAUGCGUAGCCGACCUGAGAGGGGGAGCGGCCACACUGGGACUGAGACACGGCCCAGACUCCUACGGGAGGCAGCAGUAGGGAAUCUUCCGCAACGGACGAAAGUCUGACGGAGCAACGCCGCGUGAGUGACGAAGGUUUUCGGAUCGUAAAACUCUGUUGUGAGGGAAGAACAAGUACCAACUAACUACUGGUACCUUGACGGUACCUCACCGGAAAGCCACGGCUAACUACGUGCCAGCCGCCGCAGUAACAC
rnacentral:rRNA from 1 species